rnacentral:rRNA from 1 species
UGGAGGAAAGCAGGGGAUCGUAAGACCUUGCGCUUUUGGAGCGGCCGAUGUCUGAUUAGCUAGUUGGUGGGGUAAUGGCCUACCAAAGCUUCGAUCAGUAGCUGGUCUGAGAGGACGGCCAGCCACACUGGGACUGAGACACGGCCCAGACUCCUACGGGAGGCAGCAGUGGGGAAUUUUGGACAAUGGGCGCAAGCCUGAUCCAGCCAUGCCGCGUGAGUGAAGAAGGCCUUCGGGUUGUAAAGCUCUUUCAGCCGGGAAGAAAAGGCUGCGACUAAUAAUCGCAGUUCAUGACGGUACCGGAAGAAGAAGCACCGGCUAACUACGUGCCAGCAGCCGCGGUAAUACGUAGGGUGCGAGCGUUAAUCGGAAUUACUGGGCGUAAAGGGUGCGCAGGCGGCUUUGUAAGUCAGAUGUGA